rnacentral:misc_RNA from 1 species
AACGCACCUUGCGCCCCUUGGCAUUCCGAGGGGCACACCCGUUUGAGUGUCGUGAAAUCCUCAAAAUCCUUUUUGGGCUUACCCAGAAGGGAUUUUGGACUUGGAGGUUUAAUGCUUGCCUUUCACCUGUGAAAGUGAGCUCCUCUCAAAUGAAUUAGUGGGGUCCGCUUUGCCUGAUCCUUGACGUGAUAAGAUGUUUCUACGUUUUGGAUUUUGGCACUGUACCUUGGAUGCCUGCUUCUAACCGUCUCAUGGACAAUGGAUGGUGCUCUGGUCCCCUGCCUUCUAACGUUGGUGGGAGGCUGGACCCACAGAUGAAAACCUUGACCUCAAAUCGGGUGAGACUACCCGCUGAACUUAA